UCCGCGUCCUCGGGCUCCUCCCACUCGCGCUCGCGCUCCCGCUCCCUCUCGUCGUCCUCCUUGUCGCCGCUCCCCUCCCACCGCCAAGCGCAGGUUCUGCAAACGGUCUUUUACUGCACUUGACUGAAGAAGUAGGUGUCUGCUAUAUCCUGCACUUGAGCGAUGCCGUCGUAUGUCGUGUACAAGGGUAAGGUUCCCGG